rnacentral:rRNA from 1 species
AAUCCAUAGGUUAAUGAGGCGAACCGGGGGAACUGAAACAUCUAAGUACCCCGAGGAAAAGAAAUCAACCGAGAUUCCCCCAGUAGCGGCGAGCGAACGGGGAGGAGCCCAGAGCCUGAAUCAGCAUGUGUGUUAGUGGAAGCGUCUGGAAAGGCGCGCGAUACAGGGUGACAGCCCCGUACACAAAAGCGCAUGUGCUGUGAGCUCGAUGAGUAGGGCGGGACACGUGGUAUCCUGUCUGAAUAUGGGGGGACCAUCCUCCAAGGCUAAAUACUCCUGACUGACCGAUAGUGAACCAGUACCGUGAGGGAAAGGCGAAAAGAACCCCGGCGAGGGGAGUGAAAAAGAACCUGAAACCGUGUACGUACAAGCAGUGGGAGCCCCACCACCAAAGCAUUCUCUGGUGUUGAAGGCCCUGCAAAGCAGCAUCGCGGUGGCGGAGCGUCGUUUGCGACGCCCAACACACAAAACAAGCGGUGAGUGCUUUGGGGUGGGGUGACUGCGUACCUUUUGUAUAAUGGGUCAGCGACUUAUAUUCUGUAGCAAGGUUAACCGAAUAGGGGAGCCGUAGGGAAACCGAGUCUUAACCGGGCGUUAAGUUGCAGGGUAUAGACCCGAAACCCGGUGAUCUAGCCAUGGGCAGGUUGAAGGUUGGGUAACACUAACUGGAGGACCGAACCGACUAAUGUUGAAAAAUUAGCGGAUGACCUGUGGCUGGGGGUGAAAGGCCAAUCAAACCGGGAGAUAGCUGGUUCUCCCCGAAAGCUAUUUAGGUAGCGCCUCGUGAAUUCAUCUCCGGGGGUAGAGCACUGUUUCGGCUAGGGGGCCAUCCCGGCUUACCAACCCGAUGCAAACUGCGAAUACCGGAGAAUGUUAUCACGGGAGACACACGGCGGGUGCUAACGUCCGUCGUGAAGAGGGAAACAACCCAGACCGCCAGCUAAGGUCCCAAAGUCAUGGUUAAGUGGGAAACGAUGUGGGAAGGCCCAGACAGCCAGGAUGUUGGCUUAGAAGCAGCCAUCAUUUAAAGAAAGCGUAAUAGCUCACUGGUCGAGUCGGCCUGCGCGGAAGAUGUAACGGGGCUAAACCAU